rnacentral:rRNA from 1 species
UCGAGAAUUAUUCGCAAUGGGCGAAAGCCUGACGGUGCGACGCCGUGUGAACGAAGAAGGCCUUCGGGUUGUAAAGUUCUUUCGCUUGGGAACAAGGGAGAUAUAUGAACAAUAUAUUUUCUUGAUGGUACUAGGUAAAGAAGCACUGGCUAACUCCGUGCCAGCAGCUGCGGUAAUACGGAGGGUGCAAGCAUUAAUCGGAUUUACUGGGCGUAAAGGGCGCGUAGGCGUCUAUGCAAGUCAGGUGUGAAAUUCCGGGGCUCAAUCCCGGAGCAGCACUUGAAACUACAUAGAUGGAGGGUAGGCGGAGAAAGUGGAAUUCCACGUGUAGCGGUGAAAUGCGUAGAUAUGUGGAGGAACACCGGUGGCGAAGGCGACUUUCUAGCCUAUUCCUGACGCUGAGGCGCGAAAGCAAGGGGAGCAAACAGG